ensembl:lncRNA
AGAUGCUUCAAUCUGGGACCCAGACCAUCUCUACAGGUGCAUUAUCUGUGUGGGGUCUGGACUGUGGUGGCACCAGGGUUCUACCUGUGGUCUAAAAAGCCCAGCUGUUUAUCCACAGCUUCCUCCCUCCUGGCAGCAGUCUCAUCCCACAGCCUGCUCUGCUGAUCUCUUCCAAGAGACAUGGGCAGCGUCUGCAACUGAACCCAAGAUCCCUGGGAAACUCGACAGCCGCUCACCCCCACAUGCUUUCUCCUGGCUCCCCACCCCGAAAAUGCACUGCCAUGGACCAGAGGAACGCUUCAGUGGCCAGCCACUGACAUCCAUGAAGACCACCCGAGGAUAAACUCACAGAGAUGCCUCCAAGAAGCCAGACAAAUAAGUUACCAAUCCCAAAGUGAAGGCUGGAGGAGAAAGGGGCACAAAUCUGUGAAUAAAAAAAGUGUACAGUGAUCAUCAUGGGGGAUGAAGAGCAGGGGCAUGGAGGUGAUGUGGAUGGACAGCCACUGCUUGUUUCUGAGGGACAGCUGUGUGAG